GGAGAGGUACCCAAGCGGCCAAAGGGGGCAGACUGUAAAUCUGCUGGUGCGUGCCUUCGCUGGUUCAAAUCCAGCCCUCUCCACCA
rnacentral:tRNA from 1 species